ensembl:snRNA U6 U6 spliceosomal RNA
GUACAUAUGCACACAUACUAAAAUUGGAAUGAUACAGAGAAGAUUAGCAUGGCCCCUGCUCAAGGAUGACAUGCAGAUUUGUGAAGCAUUCAUAUUUUAG